GCUAAUUGAGGUGGCGUGUGCCUGUAGUCCCAGCUACUCAGGAGGCCGAGGUGGGAGGACCGCUUGGGCCGAGGAGUUCUGGGCUGUAGUGCGAAAUGCCAUUCGGGUGUCUGCACUGAGUUCGGCAUCAAUAUGGUGACCUCCCAGGAGCAGGGGACCACCAGGCUGCCUAAGGAGGAGUGAAACGGCCCAGGUGGGAAAUGGAGCAGCUCAAAACUCCCGUGCUGCUCAGCAGUGGGAUUGCGCUUGUGAAGAGCCACUGCACCCCAGCCUGGGCAGCACAGCAAGACCUUGUCUAU
ensembl:misc_RNA Metazoa_SRP Metazoan signal recognition particle RNA